UACGUAGGGGGGCAAGCGUUGUCCGGAAUCAUUGGGCGUAAAGCGCGUGUAGGCGGCUCAGUAAGUCCGCUCUGAAAAGCCCGGGGCUUAACCCCCGGAAGGCGGGUGGAUACUGCUGAGCUUGAGUCCGGAAGAGGCGAGUGGAAUUCCCCGGUGUAGCGGUGAAAUGCGCAGAUAUCGGGAGGAACACCAAUGGCGAAGGCGAGCUCGCCUGGGACG
rnacentral:rRNA from 1 species